rfam:Clunio marinus genome assembly, contig: CLTMA_superscaffold_24
UGGCGCAACGGUAGCGCGUCCGACUCCAGAUCGGAAGGUUGCGUGUUCAAAUCACGN